UACGUGAGGGUGCAAGCGUUACUCGGAAUUACUGGGCGUAAAGCGUGCGUAGGUGGUUCGUUAAGUCUGAUGUGAAAGCCCUGGGCUCAACCUGGGAAUGGCAUUGGAUACUGGCGACCUAGAGUGCGGUAGAGGGUGGCGGAAUUCCCGGUGUAGCAGUGAAAUGCGUAGAUAUCGGGAGGAACAUCCGUGGCGAAGGCGGCCACCUGGACCAGCACUGACACUGAGGCACGAAAGCGUGGGGAGCAAACAGGG
rnacentral:rRNA from 1 species